UACGUAGGGAGCAAGCGUUGUCCGGAAUCAUUGGGCGUAAAGCGCGUGUAGGCGGUUCGGUAAGUCCGCUGUGAAAGUCGGGGGCUCAACCCUCGGAAGCCGGUGGAUACUGUCGAGCUAGAGUACGGAAGAGGCGAGUGGAAUUCCUGGUGUAGCGGUGAAAUGCACAGAUAUCAGGAGGAACACCAAUUGCGAAGGCAGCUCGCUGGGACGUUACUGACGCUGAGACGCGAAAGCGUGGGGAGCAAACAGG
rnacentral:rRNA from 1 species